GACGAACGCUGGCGGCGUGCCUAAUACAUGCAAGUCGAGCGAAGUUUUUAUGGUGCUUGCACUAGUAACACUUAGCGGCGCACGGGUGAUUAACACGUAAAGAACCUGCCUCAUAGACUGGGACAACUAUUGGAAACGAUAGCUAAUCCCGGUUAACAGUAUUUCUCGUACCAGAGAACUAUAAAAGUUGGUUAUGCUAUCACUAUGAGAUGGCUUUGCGGUUCAUUAGCUAGUUGGUGGGGUAAAGGCCCACCAAGGCGACGAUGCAUAGCCGACCUGAGAGGGUGAUCGGCCACACUGGGACUGAGACACGGCCCAGACUCCUACGGGAGGCAGCAGUAGGGAAUCUUCCGCAAUGGGCGAAAGCCUGACGGAGCAACACCGCGUGAGUGAAGAAGGAUUUCGGUUCGUAAAGCUCUGUUGUUAGGGAAGAAUGGAUAUGUAGUAACUAUACAUGUAAGAGACGGUACCUAACCAGAAAGCCACGGCUAACUACGUG
rnacentral:rRNA from 1 species